rnacentral:rRNA from 1 species
AGGACUUGACAUGGGCAGGACGGGUUCAGAGAUGGGCC